GACGGAGGGGGCUAGCGUUGUUCGGAAUUACUGGGCGUAAAGAGCGCGUAGGCGGUUUAGUAAGUUGGGAGUGAAAGCCCGGGGCUUAACCUCGGAAUUGCUUUCAAAACUGCUAAUCUAGAGUGUAGUAGGGGAUGAUGGAAUUCCUAGUGUAGAGGUGAAAUUCUUAGAUAUUAGGAGGAACACCGGUGGCGAAGGCGGUCAUCUGGGCUACAACUGACGCUGAUGCGCGAAAGCGUGGGGAGCAAACAGG
rnacentral:rRNA from 1 species